UUCGCACCUUGAUUCAUGGUGCUACCUCUCUCCCUCUACCUUCCCGCUAUUUUCUCUCUACAAAUCUCCCUCUUGUUGUCGAAAUUUUUUCUCAGAAGUAUCAAUACCGUUACCACCAUUAUUUCCUCUCUCUCUCUCUCUCGAUCUCUCGAUCUCCCUCUUUCUCUCAAACUCUUUCUCAAAGUGAGAACCGUAACCUCCAUUCCCCCUCAAACUCUUUCCUAAAGUGAGAACCGUAACCUCCUCUCUCAAAAUCUUUGUCCAUCCUAGUGCUCUCUCUCACAAAUUACCCUAACCCUUAGGUAUUCUUUUGAAAGCUGUCUUUAUAUUGCUUCUUGUCGGAAGCAAGGGCACAAGCUGCACGGCAACAGAGCUGGUGGUACAAUCCUACAUAGCUGCACAACUUUAAGGAUCAAUGCUAGCAAUUACUAUGUAUUUGAGGCUGAGAAGAGAGUUGUUUCUUUAGGUUGGCACCAAUAGGUUCAGAGACAAGCAUUUGGGCUUGAUUUUUUAUUUAUUUUUUAUCAUUGCUUUCUAUACUAUGUUUGUAGAAAGUGUAAUGAAACAAAUGGAUUUCAUUAUUGUAAACAUUUUAGUUUUUAAAAGUUGAAUGAAACAAUGAAUUCUUAGGUUAUAUGGAUGUGUAAUUGAUAUAUCUUUUUACGAAAUGAAGAAUGCAUUCAGGUAUAA